UAGGGAAUCUUCCGCAAUGGGCGAAAGCCUGACGGAGCAACGCCGCGUGAGUGAUGAAGGUCUUCGGAUCGUAAAACUCUGUUAUUAGGGAAGAACGAAUGUGUAAGUAACUAUGCACGUCUUGACGGUACCUAAUCAGAAAGCCACGGCUAACUACGUGCCAGCAGCCGCGGUAAUACGUAGGUGGCAAGCGUUAUCCGGAAUUAUUGGGCGUAAAGCGCGCGUAGGCGGUUUUUUAAGUCUGAUGUGAAAGCCCACGGCUCAACCGUGGAGGGUCAUUGGAAACUGGAAAACUUGAGUGCAGAAGAGGAAAGUGGAAUUCCAUGUGUAGCGGUGAAAUGCGCAGAGAUAUGGAGGAACACCAGUGGCGAAGGCGACUUUCUGGUCUGUAACUGACGCUGAUGUGCGAAAGCGUGGGGAUCAAACAGG
rnacentral:rRNA from 1 species